rnacentral:rRNA from 1 species
AGAAUCAACGCUGGCGGCGUGCCUAACACAUGCAAGUCGAACGAGAAAGGGGAGCAAUCCCUGAGUAAAGUGGCGACCGGGUGAGUAACACGUGACUAACCUACCCUCGAGUGUGGAAUAACAUCGGGAAACCGAUGCUAAUACCGCAUAACAUCGGCGCUUUUAAGAGAUGCCGAUCAAAGGAGCAAUCCGCUUGAGGAGGGGGUCGCGGCUGAUUAGUUAGUUGGCGGGGUAAUGGCCCACCAAGACGAUGAUCUGUA